rnacentral:rRNA from 1 species
AUUGAACGCUGGCGGCAGGCCUAACACAUGCAAGUCGAGCGGACGAAUGGGGGUUGCUCCCGGAUGCAGCGGCGGACGGGUGGGUAAUGCCUAGGGAUCUGCCUUAACUCGGGGAAUAACGUCCGGAUACGGGAGCUGAUCUCCCAGGGGACCAUAGAUCGAAAGUAGUGGAUCAUGGGUCCUAACGGUUUGAUAGGAGCGUAAGUGGGAUUCGCUAGCUGGUGGGGUAACCGAUUACCAAAGGGACGACCCGUAAAUGGCAUGAGAGGGUGAUCAGGCACACUGGAACUGAGAAACAGUCCAGACACUGACGGGAGGCAGCAGUCGGGAAUCUUGCGCAAUGGGGGAAAGCCGGAUCGAGCGAAGCCGCGGGAGUGCUGAAGGUCUUAGGAUGGUAAAACGCUGUAAGUUGGGAGGAAGUAAAGUUCUUUCACCCCGGACUGUAUUGACGGUACCCAGAGAAUAAGCCCCGGCUAACUUCGUG